UGAACCAGGGAACCCUGGGCCGCCGAAGCAGAAUGUGCGAAAUUAACUGCCGCGCCACAGGGCCGGCCCCUAGGAUAGCCUUUUAUGUUAUUAAAAAGAACAGGUAAUGCUGGUACCAGAAAAUUUUACUUGCAAUAAACAAAUAAGAUGGUAAAAUUAUUCACAUUAUGAAAGCAUCCCUGAGUCAUUUGGGUGUUUGCUUACAUAUUAUUAAAUAUUUUACACACAUCUUCUACCAUACUACCUGGUAUCUGUUUGAAUGUUGCCUUGAAAAUGAGAACGUGCUAUUUCACACUUGAGUGUCUGUUUUAACCAGAUUGUCGACUACUUGCAGGCAUGAGGCUCUGCUUGGUUAUUUGAAGAAAAAUAAAUGGGAUAAAUGGUCUGAUAGAUGGUCUGGCACUGAACGCUGUAGCUGAAACUCAUGAAUGGGGAUCUUACCAACCUCUUGAAAACCACACUUUACUAGUCCAUGGAGUGGCCAGGCUCUUCCACAGUGACCAUAGCAAUCAUCCAGACUUAGGAUAAUAAGUGCAUAUGAAUGACCAAGGAAUGGAUGAAUGGCUUGUCCUUAUCCAGAUAAAGAAAUCCAGAGGGACAGAAUGGGUGCCCAUGCAGACUGAUGUGCUGCAUUGUACUUGCCAAAUUCUCAGAAUGAUGCAUGUUAUUCCAAUAAGUAGAUUCUUCCAAGAAACCAAAGUAACUGAUGUCAAAUGCAUCCUCUCUCCCUACACACUGGAUUUGGUUGUUACUCCUCUUUUCCUGAAGCCUGGGAUUCCAUAUUCCAUCAAGGUUAGAUUAGAAAAUCUAAUACGGUGCAUUUUUAGUCUGUGAAAGGACAGAGGAAAAGAAUCUCUGCUACAUGUUGCUCCUGUGUGACCUUCAGUGUAAACACUUAAAUGGAGAAUAGAAUGAGGGCGGGGAGAAAUAGGACCAGGCCAUGUUGAAAAACAACUGUCUAGAUCCAGGCCUGGUAAUAAUUUCACUCAACCCAUGGCUUAUAUACAAGCACAUAGCACAGUGCCCUGCUCUUAUUAAACACUCAGUAACUGUACAUUGAACUGAAUGUAAUUCAUAUAUAUGCCAGGAGUGGUUAAAACACAACGAUAAGAGAACCACAUUUGACUACUGAAUUAAAUUCUACCAAGCCCGUGCUUGGGAAUGGAUUAUGUUAGGGUUUUCUUUUUGUUAAAGAGUCAGUAUUAACUCUUGGAAUGGACUUGGUCCAACAUGUGCAGGUGAAGGGUGCCUUUGCCCAUUUCGCAGGAGGGAUCACAGUAACCCUGAAGGCGAAACUCCGGAGAAGACAGUUCUGGAUCCAAGAAAAAGCACAACAAAUUACAAUGAUGGAGUAGCUUCAUUUGUAGUUAACAUUCCCUCUGACGUGACAGUGCUGGAGUUUCACGUGAGCAAAAUUCUCGUUUGUUCUGUCUUCUAAUAGCACCUCAGUCUGUGUGGUCGCUAGCAUGCAGGAAAGAUGAGGGAGAUUUUAUGUAUAAGCCUAGUGAACUUCUCUGAAACAUUUGACUUGUGGGCACAGGGAAUACAAUUCAGUGUACUGAACAUUCCAUAAAGGAUAUGAGUGUCAAUUUUGUGUCUAGGAAGUAAUUUUUUCUUCUUAUGCUAAACAUAAUACUAUUCAAUCAGGAAACUUUAGAACAAGAACUGCCAGUGGAACACAAGAAUACAGACAGGGUCUUCUCUGGUCCAUUAUUUCCAGCUGUCGUCAUCUCUUCCUCAAUUCACAUGCAAACUACACUAAAGAAUAGCCUGCAUUCCUUUCUUCCCCUCCCAGAUCUCCUCAGACUACGAGAUCUGGCUUCGGCCCCCACCACUCCACUGAAACUGCUCUCACCGAGGUUACCUGGAGCUACUUGCCGAGAUCGCUGGAUAUUUUUCAGUCUUUAUCGUCCUUGCCUUCUCUAAGACGUUUGGUGCAGUGGACCAUUGUCUUUUUCUUUCAAUAAUCUAUUCUAGCCUCUGUGACUCCACAUUUCCUUGCUUUGUCUUUUUCUCCUUUGUUCUCUUUAUACCUUCCAAUUUGGACCAGUAAUCCCUAGCUUGCCCUCUAAACGGGGGUGAUCCUCAGGGUUCUAUUUAGACCCUCCUGUCUUCUUACCCGACACAUUUUUAUUUGACAUAUAUCCUCUGUGAUUCCAUCUGCUCCCAUAGCUUAUGCUGAAGACUCAUCCUAAACACUCAAGAUCCUUACAGACGCUGCCUUCUCCGUAUCUUUUUCUUGGAUCUUUCAAAGAAGCAUAAACAUGGCUUUGUCCAAAACUAACAACCAACCACCUGCCAGCCUCAAACCUAGACCUCUCCCACUGCCCUGUUUCAGUGAACAGCCCCACCGCCACCUAGUUAUUCACUCUCCUUCCAGUCACUCUCCUCGUUUUGGCAAAGGAGAUAGAGUCAUCUUUCUGAGACACAAAUCUGAUCUUUAUUGACCUUGUUCUUGCUCCCCUCUCCAAACGCAUUGCUCAUCACUCUUCCCAUCGCACCUCAAACUCCAGCUACACUGGGCAGUUUGCCACUCCCUAAUAGCCUGCUCUCUAUUGCCACAGGCCUUUGCAGGUCUACCUCAAACUCUCCUUCCUCAGUUCUUUGAUUCCCUAACUCCUGCUUAUUUGGGGGUCAACUUUUCAAUCAUGUCCUCCACUCAUGUCCUUCUCUAACUACCCUCUGUUAAUAUGAGUAUGUUUUCCUUACCCCAUGAAAGUCUCAUGGAUUUCAGGCUUCCUGAGGGCGAGAGCUGUGUCCAUCUUAUUUACGUUUGUCCCCAGCAACUAGCAUAGUUCCUGACACAUAUUAGGGACCAGUAAAUAUUGAUUGGCUGAAUGCAUACAUUUCUUUCCAAACCUAAACAAGAGCCAAAUAUCAUUGUCUCCUUUUUCUCUAAUAGCAUGAACCAUUUUUCCUCUGUUCUUGUUAUCAAGUUACAUUCACCAGCAAAUAACCUAAUUCUUCAGCUUCAAGGAAAACAUAGAUGUUUCCAGCCUCUUGUUCAAGAACUAGUACAGCAUGGCACGUAUAUUUAUGAGUUCACUGUGACCCUGCACUUUACCCUCAAGAACAGAUCUUGUUUACUUUCCUAAAUCCUUCUCCCCAUCUCUCUCCUGAGAAGUGGUAAAAUUAUUCACCACCAUAUCCAUUCACAACUGAUGUCUGUGUUAGCUUUUAAGAAUUAUUGCCACAUCUCUACCCACAUUUUCCCUUUCCCCAAAUUCCUAGUUUCUGCUAGCCUGUGGCAGAAGGAAAUGAGUCAAUAAGUUGGUAUGUCAUUUAAGAAAGAAGGCCAACCCUAGAUCUAAGAUCCUUUCUCUUCUUUGACUUCACUGAACUCUUCCACUGUAGCCUAGAUUUUCAUAGUUAAUUUUAUUAUUUUUUUAAUCAAUGGCCUUUCUGUAAUCACUUGAUAACAUAGCUUACCUUACUGUUAAGGCAGUGGAAUGCCAAUCUGCUUUUCAUAAGAUGCUGUGAAGCCUGAAGAUUUAUAAGGUAUGUGGAUACAUUCAUACAUGUCAAACACUUAGAACCAGAACUGGCACUAAGUGAAUGCUGGGAAAGUAUUAAUGGUUACCAACACCAACACCACCAUUACCAUCUUUGUCAUCAUUGAUACAAAGUUUAGGAUUAGUGUUUUACAUUUAUUGACACUAUCUUCUUUAGGUCAAAACUGAUGACCCAGAAGAAUUCAGAAGAAUCCACAAGAAUAUCAGGCCAGCAACGACUAUCAAGCAGUGGCCUACAAAAUCACGUAGCCAAAGUCUCCUUUCCCUUAGCUGGACAGACAGUUACAAGAGUUUGCUUAUGGGAGAACAUCUGAGCGUAACUGUUACCCUUAAAAGUCCAUCUGUUGACGCGAUUACACACUACAAUUACUUGGUAAAUUCAAUACUAUCUUACUUGCAUCUAGUCCCCUACCUGCAGCAUUUUCUUAUGCAAAUAAUCUUUUAAACGAUUCUUAUCUGACACAAAACAGUACUCAGUUGAUAUUUAGUGAAUGAAUAGGUGAACUCACAUAGCAUUUUAUAGUCUAUAAAGCACAUUCACAAACAUCCCCAUAGCAGAGCCUCACAACACUUCUUAGAGCUGGGGGACAAUGGAACAGAUUGGAGAGGUUGCGUGACCUGCCGUGUUCACAAGUAGUUGGUGGUAGAUUUAGGAUUUUGUUCACAAUCUUCUGACUCCUAGACUGAUAUUCCUUCUAUGGCAUGAUGCCAAGGGUUUGAUCAGAGCCUUCCUUCAGUCCCCAGACUAGUCAGUGACCUCAGCAACGUUUCACCGCCAAUCAUUUGGUCAACGUUUCAUUACCAAGCAUCGGACUGCCAGGCCUUGCUGGCAUUCCUUAAGAACAUUCCCUGUUUAUGAAGGGAAGAAUUUAAGUCCUGAGCUCAAGAAUGGAUGUAGUGAUUCCCAGGCGUUGUUCAUUGCUGUUUAAAAUACGAACUAGCAAGAUCAGCAGCAUAUUAUAUUUGAAAAGUCAUGGGCUUUGAGUCAGCAAGGUCAGAGUUCACUUCCUAGAUAAAUCCAUGUUCAGAAACAAACCUUUGAAUGUAAACAAUUCCAAGCUAUCUUUGUUUCAGUGACCGAUAACAUCAUCUUGUUUACUAGGUCAUUUGUUGGAAUAAGCAAUAACCUCAUUGAUUCUGAGAGAGGCACCUUUUAAGCUAAUGAGACAGCUUAUGAGCUUCAAUUUCUAUAACUACUAAAUGAAUAAAACCACAAUAUGCAAUUGGGAGGAUUGAAUAUGUUCAUGUUUAUGUGCCUAAUGCGUAGUAGAUGCUCAAUGGAUGUUAAUUCUCUUCCUCUUUGUCACCUGCCUAACUACUAGCCCAACUUUAAGUCCACUCUGAUGAGUAUUUGUUACUGUGUAUUUUUAGAUUUCAUCUAAGGGCAAAACUGUACACUUUGGCACAGAGAAGAAGCUCCCAGGUUCAUCCUACCAACUUUUAAACCUUUCCGUGACUCAGCACAUGGUUCCUACAGCCCGUCUCCUAGUCUAUUACACCAUGACAGGAGAGCAGACUGCAGAAUUAGUGUCUGACUCAGUCCAUCUAAAUAUUGGAGAAAAGUGUGGCAACCAGCUCCAGGGGAGCCGAAUACUCUCCCCAGCCCGAGUUCCUCCUGAGUGACUGUGUAAUCUCACUUUAACAUACUUUCUUUUUCAACUAAUUUUAGAUCCAUUUGUCUCCAAAUAAAGACAUAUAUUCUCCAGGCGAAGCUAUAUCUCUUACUGUGGAAACUCAGUCAGAAUCGUAGGUAGCAUUAUCAUCAUUGAACGGUGCUAUAUAUGGCACCCAAGAAAGAAGCAAAAAUCCCUUGGAAAGAGUUAAGUAUGGUAAAUGCUGUGGUUACUGAUGCUUGGCGUGGCUUGGGGCCAAGUGGCCACCAGGAUUCUCUAAGGGUUCUGGGGGUUAGUCAUGGGAGCAGAAUAAAGGAAAAGGAUGCAAUUAUACUAAUGUCUGACUUCUCAGCUAGAUUUAAGGAUAAUAAUAUCAACAGCUAACAUUUAUUGAACACUUACUGUGUGCGGAAUAUUCUUGUAAGAACUUUAAAUCAUUAUCUUAUUGAAUAUUCACAACCAUCCUCUGAGAUGCAUAUCAAUGAUAAAGAUAUUUAAAAUCUUUAUCUAGUGGAGUUCCCAUGUUAUCCACGAGGAAAACUGAGACACAGAGAUAUUAGGUGACUUAGGGCCUGGGUGGAAUCUCAGCACAGAGUAGAAGCAAGUGACUUGUUUGGUCUGAGUUACUUCUUUUAGUUAUCCUUUUAGAUAUAUAAAGGAUAGUUAUCCAGUUAGUUUACCCUCCAAUUUAUUUUAUAUUACAUGAACACACUUAUUUGGGAAUAUCCUCAGUGAAAUGCUAAAAGGCAAUUUUCUCUGGGAAUAAACUAAAAUGUAGUUAAAUCCACAUUCAGAAACAAACCUUCAAAUGCAACCAAUUCCAAACUAUCUUCCUUUCAGUGACUGAUGACAUCAUCUUGUUUACUAAGCUGUUUGUCGGAAUAAGCAAUAACCUUAUUGACUCUGAGAGAGGGCACCUUUUAAGCUAAUGCAUAAAAUUAAAUUUCUUGCUCACUCCAGGGAAGAGAUAUGACUGAAAAUGCUGGGGUUCUAGUGCACUGAGUGUAUUAAAUCCGUUGGAGAGGUGAUGGAGAGGGGAGCAGAAAACAGGGGCAUGGUGUGGGAGACUAUAUGGCUACAUACGAAACUGCAGUCAUGAAUAGCUGUCUCCCCUUGCCUGUCCCUUCCCCAGCCAAGUCCCUCCCUCCCACCCGCAAUAGCCCAUACACUUUCAUGGGUCACAUGGGUCAUGGUCACAAGCUUUGAGGAGGAGUCAACCCUCCGCACCAAAAAUAAUUCCCUGAGCAUCCUUACCCAUUUCUGUGCUCUUCUCUAUCUUGGGUGGAGCAGUAAAAUGCAGGGUCUCACCCCUCUCAGAACUUACAACCUAGAGCUGGAAAAGGACCAUGAGGGGUAGUGAGUAUUUCAUUUACUUGUUCAUUCAUUCAUUCGUUCAUUCAAAGGAUAUUUUAUUAGUUAAUUCAAUAUGCAAAGCCUCAAAAAGGGAGAGUGUAGGUUGUUUUCUAGGAACUUCCAUAUCAAAGUUAUGUGCUGAAGUCUUGGCUCUUGAGUGAAUUUUGAAUAGCAUGUGUUUGUAAAACUCAUGAGGUGAAAACUAGGGAAAGAAAGAAAGGUUUGGAAAACUGGAGAAUUAGAUUUUAACAUUUAAAAGUGAGUGACUUGCAACUAACACUAUCCACAAGUCAGGUAUUCCUCAUAACAGCCACUGAAUAUUGUUUUCUGGGGGAAUGAUUUCCUUUCUGAACAGGUACUUCGAUCUUUCGGUAAAAGUGACCAGGACUGUGGAACAGGUGGUGGCAGGAGUAGUGCUGAAGUGUUCUACUUAGCGGGACUCCCUGUCCUCACCAAUGCAAAUGCAGAUGACUCCCAGCAAGAUGAUGGAUCAUUUAAGAAAAUUCUCAGGUCCAGAAGAGACUUGAAAGAGGAAAUAGAAAAUCCAGGUGCUCCAAUGUCUCCUGUUGUUUUCAGAAGUUAUGAUGGAAUCGCCCAGGGUCUGCUACAUUUUGUCAUUCUAGCUGGUUGAUGUAGAGCAGGUGAAAAAGAUCGGUGGGCACUUCCAGCUUCUAUUUUCCAUAGGGGGAAGGCAAACUGGGUAAAUUAACCUCCAUUUAUUUAUCACAGUCUUAACCUAAAGGAAACAGGUCACCAUCAUGUUCAUUCUCUGUAGUUAUAAUAGAGUCAGUUUUUAAUUGUCUCAGAUUUUACUCUCUGUCAGGGUAGCUGGUAUAGCAGUUAAAUGUAUGACUUCCAUUAAAUUCUCACAAAAGCUAGGUCUGAUGAACUUUAGGAUGAAAUAAUCAUAGCUAACCCUAAUUAAGCACUUACUAUGUGCCAGGCUUUGUGGAAGCCUCAUAAUCAGAUUUUCUCAUUGAACAUUCAUGCCAAUCACAUGCGGUAGGUACUCUUAUUACCCCCAUUUUCCAGAUGAAGACAUCAAGACACAGAGAAAUUAAUCAUAAUUAACACGCCCAAUGUCAUGGAGCAGUGAAAGGCACAGGGAGAAUUCAAACCCAAGUCAGACUGAUAGCAGAGCCCACUGCACUGGUGACCACUAUGUUCUACUGAGCGCUACUCCUUUUCUUUGGUGCAUUGAUAUUCAGGACUUGUCCAGAUUAUUUGGGAAGGUGGGUCUGAAAGAACCAGUUUUUAUAUACCACUUAGAUUUCAGGUACACUGUCAAUAACAUUAAUUACUGGAGGAGUUACAGAUACCAUGCUUUAAUACUAAUGAUGAUGACAUCAAUAAAGUUUUCCCAUUACAGUAGGUACUUGUCAAAAUAGCAUCUUUAGAAGACAUCACAUAAAGAACAAUGUUUUUAGAAUCAGAGAGUGGGCUUGACUCUUGGCUUACUAUUUAUAGCUAUGUGACCUUAGCUAAGUUACUUAAUCUCCUGGAGCCUCAGUUUCUUCUUCUGCAAAAUGGAGACAAUUUCUGCCUUGCAGAGUUAGUAGAAUUAAAUGAGAUAAUGCAGGAAAAGCACUUAGCUCAGGAGGAACUCAAUAAACAGUAACUCGCAAUGCUCUAUUCUUUUUAAAGCCCCCUUACCAAAGCCAUGUUCUGACCUAGGCUAGACAGAAAUUACAAUCAUUUAUUGAUGGCAAAGUGAGUUUCUGCAAGUCCAAAUGACUGGGUGAGAUGGGGCUGCCACAAGUAUCAGAGCUUCCAUUCUGUGGUCCAGAGGCCUUUCACCUCAUAAUACUGCCUCUUGGCUCCAGCCCUGGCUCUGCCCCUUAACAGCUGUGGCCACAUGGACAAGUCUCUUCCCCUCUUUGCAUCACCCUUUCCUCAUCUCUACGUGACAGAGAAGGACAUGAUCAAUUCUAAAGUCCCAUUCAGCGGUUUUUGAGAAAACAAGAGGACAACCUAAGUGAACACUCUUGAUCUUCUGUACACCCAUGCAGGCUUUAUACUGACUGCAGCCUGACUGUCUCAGCCAAGUGAGUGUCCAGUGGGGAGUGACUAUAUGAGGGUUUUGAAACCAAUCAUAUCCCAUGAACACAUGAUCUGAAUAAAAAAAUCCCAGGGAUGUUUACCAGAGAAAGGCUAAGACUUAGGCGGUCAUGAUGAUUAUCUUCAAAUAUUCAAGGAACUUGUGAUUACGUGAGUUUUUCUGCACAAGAGGAAUACCAACAAGGGGGCUGGUAAUAGGAGUUAGAUUUUGGUUUAGAAGAUGUCAGGAAGAAUUUUCCAGCGAUUAGAGCUCUCUGAAGUGGAACAGGCUGCCUAGGGAGGAAACAAUUUCUCAUUCUGGAGCUGUUGCGGCAGGGGCUGGUCGACCAGUGGUACUAGAUGGGGUGUGGGCAGGGGGCACCCGGGAAGAAGUUGGACCACGGCCUCUUAGUCCAGCCUCAAGAUGUGGAAUCUGUCCCUGGCUAAGAAUGGUGGUAUCAUCAUCUCAGCCUCCAAUUUCAAACAUCCCCGGAUGCGGAAGUGCUGUUACUAUGGAGCCUAUCAAAAGGAGGAAAGAGCUGCACGGAUUACCAUUGGCCCGAUUUGUUCCAGAGCUUUCUCUCAGUGUUGUAACCUGGCAAAUCACCUGUGGAAUGAGACUUUUCACAUCUCUGUAAUCGUGGGAAGGCAAGAGGUAUCAAACGUGUACACAAUGAGCAGCAAUGUAUGCAGCAUUUUUUUAGAAAACUGGUUGUGGAAAGUAUAUCAUGUUCCUGAAAGGCAUCAGCUGGAGUUGAUGCUACCUGAUUUUUUAACCAUCUGGAAAAUUCAAGGUAUUGGCAUUUCAAAUAAAGCAAAGAAAAUACAAGAAGUUGAGAGAAGAUGAGAGCCCCCUGGGGGCCCCUAACCCACUUCUGGGCACUGCCACCUCUUGCAGGUCUAUGUGUUGCCGAUGUGCUGCGGUUUGGGUGCAGGUGAACAAAGACCAUUUCCUGGUCAUAAACAACAAUCUUACAAGAGUCAAUUAAAAGGGACAGUUUCCAACAUCAGAACUCCGGGAACCUUAGUCAGUAGUCCUCAACUCAGAAACAAUGGCUGAAGCUCCAGCAGCCAUCUUGCACUAUGAAGUAACACUGAAGAUAGAAGCUAGAUGCCAGCAUGGUGGAACAAAAAGAUAAUGGUCCCUGCCUCUGAUGACAUGUAGAGCUGACAUUCCAGCCUUGGAUUUCUUUUAUGUAGGAAAGAAAUAAACAUAUAUCUCAUUUAA